GAUACCAUGUUAGAUGUGAGAAAUGGAUCAUCAUUAAUGAACAUGUUCAUGCAUGAGAAGAAAAUUAAUGCAUGAAAGAGAAGAUUAAGAUCAACUUAAUUCUUGUAUGUAAUUCUCAUUCAUGAAUUGAUUAAGGCAUAGCCUAUAUAUAUAAGAGUGAAGUUAGUUACACUCUAACUAACUCCAUGCACCUACUAACUACCUUAGUAUGCACAAUAACUAACCUAGCAUACACCUUCAUUAUUAUUAUAUUCGAAUAAUUUCUCUCCACAAGAAAAUUCUCUAUAAGGAUGGCUUCUCUCUCUUGAAUAAGACUCUCUUUCUUUCUUGCUUCUUG
rnacentral:lncRNA from 1 species